AUUGAACGCUGGCGGCAUGCCUUACACAUGCAAGCCGAACGGUAACGCGGGGCAACCUGGCGACGAGUGGCGAACGGGUGAGUAAUGCAUCGGAACGUGCCCAGAAGUGGGGGAUAGCCCGGCGAAAGCCGGAUUAAUACCGCAUGAGACCUGAGGGUGAAAGCGGGGGAUCGCAAGACCUCGCGCUUUUGGAGCGGCCGAUGUCAGAUUAGCUAGUUGGUGGGGUAAAGGCCUACCAAGGCGACGAUCUGUAGCUGGUCUGAGAGGACGACCAGCCACACUGGGACUGAGACACGGCCCAGACUCCUACGGGAGGCAGCAGUGGGGAAUUUUGGACAAUGGGCGCAAGCCUGAUCCAGCCAUGCCGCGUGCGGGAAGAAGGCCUUCGGGUUGUAAACCGCUUUUGUCAGGGAAGAAACGCUCUGGGCUAAUACCCUGGGGUAAUGACGGUACCUGAAGAAUAAGCACCGGCUAACUACGUG
rnacentral:rRNA from 1 species